UUAUGGCCAUAUCAUGUUAAAACACCAGUUCCUGUACGAUCACCAAAGUUAAGCAAUGUAAAACCUGGUCAGUAUCUAGAUGGGUGACUGUUUGGGAUUACCAGGUGU